UUCUAAGUUUGUUCUGGGUAUAAGCUUUCGUGUGCAUGCACACUUCUUCAGGAAGUAUCUGAAGAAGUGUGCAUGCACACGAAAGCUUAUACCCAGAACAAACUUAGUUGG